UCAUUUUUCCUAUAAAUUGUCUGUCCUCCCUUUCCUCUCAAUCUCAUUCUAUUCACUUCACCAACCACAUAGCAAAAGAGACAGUAAGGAGAAAGAUGGAGGCAUUUCAGUCUUGGGUUUCAGAACACAAGCUCACUGCCAUUGCAGCCGUUUGGGCAUCAGCAAUUGGGGCUUCACUAGCUUAUAAUAGUCGUGGAGGAAGCUCUCUUAAGCCAAGUCUGAGGCUUAUCAUGCAAGGAUGCACUCGCAAGCCUUAACUCUAGCGGUGCUGUCUGCAGCAGCUUACCAUUACUAUGAAAAGAAUGCCAGCAGUCAAGACAAGGUCAGCACCAAUGCCUAGAACAGAUUCAUAGUUCAUAAUAUGUAACAUUGGAAUCUUUCUUUUAUUAAUGGUUGAUGACGAUGAAAAUGUUGGAAUUAAUGAUAUAUCAGUUAUAAUCCCUGUUUAGUUUCUUUCA